UACGUAGGGUGCAAGCGUUGUCCGGAAUUAUUGGGCGUAAAGAGCUCGUAGGCGGUUUGUCGCGUCUGCUGUGAAAACCCGAGGCUCAACCUCGGGCCUGCAGUGGGUACGGGCAGACUAGAGUGCGGUAGGGGAGAUUGGAAUUCCUGGUGUAGCGGUGGAAUGCGCAGAUAUCAGGAGGAACACCGGUGGCGAAGGCGGGUCUCUGGGCCGAUACUGACGCUGAGGAGCGAAAGCGUGGGGAGCGAACAGG
rnacentral:rRNA from 1 species